rnacentral:rRNA from 1 species
CAAGACCUUGCGCUUUUGGAGCGGCCGAUGUCUGAUUAGCUAGUUGGUGGGGUAAUGGCUUACCAAGGCCUCGAUCAGUAGCUGGUCUGAGAGGACGACCAGCCACACUGGGACUGAGGCACGGCCCAGACUCCUACGGGAGGCAGCAGUGGGGAAUUUUGGACAAUGGGGGAAACCCUGAUCCAGCCAUGCCGCGUGAGUGAAGAAGGCCUUCGGGUUGUAAAGCUCUUUCAGCCGGAACGAAAUGGUCAUGGUUAACACCCGUGACAAAUGACGGUACCGGAAGAAGAAGCACCGGCUAACUACGUGCCAGCAGCCGCGGUAAUACGUAGGGUGCAAGCGUUAAUCGGAAUUACUGGGCGUAAAGCGUGCGCAGGCGGUUUUGUAAGUCAGAUGUGAAAUCCCCGGGCUUAACCUGGGAACUGCGUUUGAAA